rnacentral:lncRNA from 1 species
UCUCUUAACAGGAUCCAGAGAUGUCUGGUUCUCACUCCUAGGCUCUGUUCCAGAAAUGUCUACUAACAAGGUGAAAAGGAAUGGGAAAAGUGGAAAAGAAAUACAUCAGAGUGGUGUUUCUCCACCAGGGUCCUGUAUUAUUUAGGCUGCAAGUGCAUGGUUGGUUUCCAAGCGGUCCUGCAGCCACAUAACUUCCCCUGUACUACCGCAGCAUAUGAGGCUUCUCUAGCACCGAGCUCUUGCAACACUUGUCAUUUCUCCAGUGCUGGGCUCCUUCGAUGCACAUUGGCCAUCAUCACCCAGUGGUCAGCAGCUCCUUGCAGAACCUCUCCUGGGGGAGUUUGUGGACUCAGACUGCUAAACCAUUUGCAUGAGAGAACUACACACCAUUUGAAAAAACAGCUUUUUUUGCAAGGUGCCAUGGCUCACUCCUGUAAUCCUGGCAACUUGGAAGGCUGAGGCAGCAGGACUACUUGAGGCCAGGAGGAAGGAAGAUCCUUACCAGAUACCAGCACCAUGCUGUUGGACUUCUCAUUCUCCAGAGCUGUGAAUCAAGUAAACUUGUUUUCUUUACAAAUUUCUUAGUCUGUGGUAUUCUGACAAACUAAACACAUGCAAAGUGUUGCCAACCUGGGAAUCUCACCAGAACCAUAAUGUCCAGGAUUUCUAUUGGAAAUCAGUCGUGUAUGCAUGCAGUAUCGGAGUGACCAACCACAGAUACUCACUUAGACUAUCACAAACCAGAACAAAAAGGGGCAUUUACCAUAAAUCUCAG